CAACGAGCGCAACCCCUGCCAUUCAGUUGCCAUCGGGUAAUGCCGGGCACUCUGGAAGGACUGCCAUCGACAAGAUGGAGGAAGGUGGGGAUGACGUCAAGUCAUCAUGGCCCUUAUGUCCAGGGCGACACACGUGCUACAAUGGCCGGCACAACGGGAAGCGAGUUCGCGAGGACGAGCGGAUACCCUCAAAGCCGGUCGCAGUUCGGAUUGAAGUCUGCAACUCGACUUCAUGAAGCUGGAAUCGCUAGUAAUCGUGGAUCAGCCAAGCCGCGGUGAAUACCGGUUCCCGGCCUU
rnacentral:rRNA from 1 species